UCCGGUUGAUCCUGCCGGACCUGACUGCUAUCGGAUUGAUACUAAGCCAUGCGAGUCAUUGUAGCAAUACAAGGCAUACGGCUCAGUAACGCGUAGUCAACCUAACCUAUGGACGGGAAUAACCUCGGGAAACUGAGAAUAAUGCCCGAUAGAACAUUAUGCCUGGAAUGGUUUAUGUUCCAAAUGAUUUAUCGCCAUAGGAUGGGACUGCGGCCUAUCAGUUUGUUGGUGAGGUAAUGGCCCACCAAGACUAUUACAGGUACGGGCUCUGAGAGGAGUAGCCCGGAGAUGGGUACUGAGACACGGACCCAGGCCCUAUGGGGCGCAGCAGGCGAGAAAACUUUGCAAUGUGCGAAAGCACGACAAGGUUAAUCCGAGUGAUUUCUGCUAAAGAGAUCUUUUGUUAGUCCUAGAAACACUAACGAAUAAGGGGUGGGCAAGUUCUGGUGUCAGCCGCCGCGGUAAAACCAGCACCUCAAGUGGUCAGGAUGAUUAUUGGGCCUAAAGCAUCCGUAGCCGGCUCUGUAAGUUUUCGGUUAAAUCUGUACGCUCAACGUACAGGCUGCCGGGAAUACUGCAGAACUAGGGAGUGGGAGAGGUAGACGGUACUCGGUAGGAAGUGGUAAAAUGCUUUGAUCUAUCGAUGACCACCUGUGGCGAAGGCGGUCUACCAGAACACGUCCGACGGUGAGGGAUGAAAGCUGGGGGAGCAAACCGGAUUAGAUACCCGGGUAGUCCCAGCUGUAAACUAUGCAAACUCAGUGAUGCAUUGGCUUGUGGCCAAUGCAGUGCUGCAGGGAAGCCGUUAAGUUUGCCGCCUGGGAAGUACGUACGCAAGUAUGAAACUUAAAGGAAUUGGCGGGGGAGCACCACAAGGGGUGAAGCCUGCGGUUCAAUUGGAGUCAACGCCGGA
rnacentral:rRNA from 1 species